AUGAAAAGAUUGGGAGAAAGCAUCAGCCACUUCAGGAGUGAAGGGGCUCACCCUUGGCUCUUCCAUUCCUUGGUGCUCCAUGGGCUGCAUAGAGGUGUUCCAUGUAAAGAUGGACAAGCAGCUACUGAGGAGAUACAGGAUGAGGUUUCCCAGCUCUGCCUCCAAAACCAAUACCUUGGACAUCUGGAUAUUUGGUUAGAAGCAGAAAUCCAUAUCUCAAGGUGAUGCUGGCUGUCUCUGUUCAAGCAAAGAAAAGAGCAAGAGUGGUGCUCUCUAGAUUUUUGAUGUUAAAUUCACUGUUGGGGUCAUUUUUUUCCUGGAAGCAGAAAAGAAGAGAACUUCAUGCAAAGGUUCUGGGAAGGACAAUUGAUUUUUAAAUGGUAAAGACCAUGUUCACUGCCUUCCGUUUGCUUUGAGAUAUGAAGUAGGUGAAACAGCGGCAUUAUCUGGGUCCACGUCAGCUGGUCAGGAGCUGAACAAACAACUGAGUCCCACCAAACAUUAACAAAAUGCAGGAUGGCUGUGUAGCCAAUGUUACCUGAGACUCUGAUCAAUUGGUAUUUGCCAAAGGGUGUUUACUAUAUUUUUCAUACUUUUUCCAAUUGGGCAUCUUUAUUGGUUUGCCUCUGCUCUCUUUCAUUAAAUAUGUAAGUCUGUCCAUGUCAUAGAUUUAAUCUAGCUUUUCUAGCCAGAGGCCUUUUGUUGGUAUUUUAUCCAAUUUCCAAUGUCGAGCAAAGGUUAUCCUUGCGGCUGUUGAUAUAAAGGUAAAAAUAAUAUCAUCGUUCUCAGUAAAGGUUGUUAUGCUUUCUGUUAGGCCUAGAAGAUAAAAUUCUGGCUUCAUCGGAAAAAAAAUUUCCACGAUUUUUUGUGAUUCUUCAUGGACUUUUUUCCACAAUUUAGUUGUUUCUGAGGAUGUCCACCAGGAAUUGAAGUAUGUUCUCUCUUGUAAGUUACAUUUCCAACAUUUGUUUUUAACAUUUUUGUACAUAAUUCCUAAUUUUUUUGGUGUGAUGUACCACCGGUGGAACAUCUUGAUCCAAUUUUCCUGAUGAUCUAGGGCGUAUAUUUUCUUUUCCAAAUCUUUUCCCAUUCUUCAAAUUUGAUUGGGCGUCCAGUAUUCUUGGCCCAUUUUAUCGCACAAUUCUUAACGGUUUCCAGCUCUGUGGACCACUAGCAGUAUUUUGUAGAUCUCAGUAAUUUCUUUUCUAUCGUUUUGCAUUAACUUAUCCCAAAAGUUUUCAUUAUCAUUAAAACCCAUAUUUUAUCUUUAACAAGUUGUUCUUUUAUUUGGGCAUACUGGAACCAUGAUAUUUUAUCAUACUUUUGUUUUAUCUCUUCUUGGGAUUUGAGUUGGUAUUCUCCAUUCUUUUUUUUAGCAAAAUUUCUCUCUAUAUAGGCCACUUAGUCCAUCCUAAAUGUUUUUUCUGAUUGGUCUCUAAUGGUGAUACCCAUAACAGUGUUUUUGUAUAUAUCAUUUCUUUAUAUGUUUCCCAAGUCCUGAUUAGUGAUGAUCUUAUAAAAUUGUUUCCGAUUUUUUUUCGAUCUUUCUUUUCCCAUGCCAGAGGUAUCCAUGCCAGCCACGUCUUGUCAAAACUUUCAAAUGCCAAAAUAUUAUCUUUCUUUAGUGUUGCCCAAUCUUUGAUCCAUGUUAAAACACAUGCCUCAUAAUAUAAUUUUAAAUUUGGGAGGCCAAGGCCCCCUCUAUUUUUUUCAUCCGUCAUGAUUGGAUAGUUAAUUCUUGCUCUUCUCUUUCCAAAUGAACUGAGUUAUUUCUUUAUUCCAUGCCAUAAAAGUUUUUUUAUUCCGAAUAAUUGGCAAGCUUUGGAAUAAAUGCAACAGUUUGGGCAGUAUGUUCAUCUUGAUUAGUGAUAUGCAACUGAAUAAGGAUAUUUUCAAAUUUUUCCAUUUUUGGAGGUCUUUGCAAAUUUCUUUCCAUUUCAAGUGGUAGUUAUUUUUUAACAAGUGAGCAUUUUUUGCCGAAAUCUAUAUCCCUAAGUAUUUAAUUUUCUUUACUACUUGAAUACCUGUCAUCUUCUCUAUUUCUUCUUGUGUUUUCCUAGGGAUAUUUUUUGUUAAAAUCUUUGUUUUAUUUUUGUUUAGAUAAAAUACUGCUACCGAGCCAAAUUCUUCAAAUUUAUGUAUCCAUUGUUGUAUUUGAUUUCUUGGUUCGUCAACUAUACAAAUAAUAUCAUUGGCAAAUGCUCUAGUCUCAUUUUUUCUUUAUACUACAAAGGCUUUCCCCCCCGGCAGGCCUCUUACUCUUAAUUUACUAUGGUGGAGGAAACAUUUAAUGUAGCUUAUGAUUGUGUUUUAAAUCUGCUUCAACUUUGGGUUUUUAGUAGAACUGUGGUUUUUAAAAAACUUUUGUACAAAUUAACUGCACUGUAUUUCCAUUAAUAGCUUUGGACCCCAAGCAGAGGGAAUGAUGAGAUGAUUUUUUUAAAAAUGCUCCUGCUCUUUCCAGACCAUUUGCAGUGCUCACAAAGUUGAGAUACAAUGCAAUCCCCGCAUUCCUGGAGUUUUCAUGGAUAUGCAAAACCACAGAAAAUCGUGAGCCCUAUUGAAAUGGAUUUCUGGCUGAGGAAUACCAUAGAAUAACUCUAGAGUUCUUAGAAAAUGCCUUGAAAAGAAUAGUUUGUCAACUGUACUGGUCUCACAACUAUAGGAACUGUACUGCAUUUCCAUACAUCAUUGACAAUAUUUAUGGUAAACAGAAGGUUGCAGGAAGUGCCAGAUACUAACAUUACCAAUUUUGAUUUGAGCCAUAUCUGUUGUUCUCAAUCUAUUGAGGGAAUAAUGGUAAAUUUUUAUUCCUCUCAUAGACCUUUUGAAGCUAUCAAAAUCACCCCAUCCUAUACCAUGCAAAGUAGCUCCAAAUACUGACACUGUACCUUUUCCAUCUGGAUGAGAAAGCAAUCAAUAUAGUCGCGUGAGAAGUUGGGGUCAUGGGGGCUUUUUUGGUUCUGUGUCACUCUUUUCACAACGAAGACCGUAAUCCUUUCAAUGAGGUCAUAUACAUUGUUCCGGUCCUUUGGGAUGUAUUUGAGAAAUUCAACAUAGAUAUCGUAGAACUGUAUGAGAAAAGGAAAUACAUUUAUUUCUUUAUAGCAUUUCUAUAAAUAAAUGAGGAGUUCUCAAGGCAAUGAGAAGACUUCCUUCUGUGCACACCAAAGACUGCGCAACUUGGAAGGCGUUGAACAG
rnacentral:lncRNA from 1 species